rnacentral:rRNA from 1 species
GAACGCUGGCGGCGUGCCUAAUACAUGCAAGUCGAGCGGACAGAUGGGAGCUUGCUCCCUGAUGUUAGCGGCGGACGGGUGAGUAACACGUGGGUAACCUGCCUGUAAGACUGGGAUAACUCCGGGAAACCGGGGCUAAUACCGGAUGGUUGUUUGAACCGCAUGGUUCAAACAUAAAAGGUGGCUUCGGCUACCACUUACAGAUGGACCCGCGGCGCAUUAGCUAGUUGGUGAGGUAACGGCUCACCAAGGCAACGAUGCGUAGCCGACCUGAGAGGGUGAUCGGCCACACUGGGACUGAGACACGGCCCAGACUCCUACGGGAGGCAGCAGUAGGGAAUCUUCCGCAAUGGACGAAAGUCUGACGGAGCAACGCCGCGUGAGUGAUGAAGGUUUUCGGAUCGUAAAGCUCUGUUGUUAGGGAAGAACAAGUACCGUUCGAAUAGGGCGGUACCUUGACGGUACCUAACCAGAAAGCCACGGCUAACUACGUGCCAGCAGCCGCGGUAAUACGUAGGUGGCAAGCGUUGUCCGGAAUUAUUGGGCGUAAAGGGCUCGCAGGCGGUUUCUUAAGUCUGAUGUGAAAGCCCCCGGCUCAACCGGGGAGGGUCAUUGGAAACUGGGGAACUUGAGUGCAGAAGAGGAGAGUGGAAUUCCACGUGUAGCGGUGAAAUGCGUAGAGAUGUGGAGGAACACCAGUGGCGAAGGCGACUCUCUGGUCUGUAACUGACGCUGAGGAGCGAAAGCGUGGGGAGCGAACAGGAUUAGAUACCCUGGUAGUCCACGCCGUAAACGAUGAGUGCUAAGUGUUAGGGGGUUUCCGCCCCUUAGUGCUGCAGCUAACGCAUUAAGCACUCCGCCUGGGGAGUACGGUCGCAAGACUGAAACUCAAAGGAAUUGACGGGGGCCCGCACAAGCGG